CCUAUGUGGAGAUAGAUUUGUAUGCUUUUAUAUACAUUUAUCUGCGAAAGAAAAUACACGUCGUGCUCAGUUGCUGAAGUGGCUCUCUUUCUAGUCCUUUAGAGCACACAUAACAAAAACAUGUUAAAGAAAUACCAAACAACAUUUUGCAGGGAUUUAGAGGUCAUUGGUGAAAAUGGAAGAAAGGACAUGGGUACAUCUAAUUUUAAGUGAAAUAACAAGAAUAGUUGAAUGAUUUACAACCAAGCAGCACUCAGAAAUAGUGAUGAAAAGUGAAACUAGAUUUUUGAAAGAUAGAACAUAGAAGAAAAAGGAAAAGGUAAUCUUCAUUGAAAUUAAAAGUAUUACUCAUAGUUAUCAAAGGUACCAGGAUUAUAAUUUAGUACGCCAGAAGCAAGUUUUGUUUCUACAUAAGACUCAUCAGUGAAGCUCAUAUCAAAAUAGUUAAAAAUCAAACAAAUACAAAGUUGAAGAGCAUUGAGGAUCCAAAAUUCCAAAAAGUUGGGCCAAAUACGACUAAGGUAAUUUAUGCCUGGGAUAAGAAAAUUCUAAGUUUUUCGAAAAAUUCAAAGUUUUGUAAACAGGAAAUUUAUAAAAAAAAAUUACAAAAUAAUUGAUAUUCAUGUCAACACCAACACUUUACUCUUUACAUAUGUAUGUAAAGAGUUAAUAAGCAAUUAAACAAUCCUGGUUGAAAUGAAAUAAUUUAAAAGAAAUGUUUUUCAAAGAAUAACUGCUCCAUCAUAUCGUGCAAUAUUUUAUGUAAAUAUCAUGUCAGAUAUCUUUUCAAUACAAGUAGCAAAUAUGGUAUACUAACUGUCAGUCAAAGAUUCUAUCAUUCAAGAUGAGUAAACCUUAAAAAUAUAUUGUUUCAGUGUUAUUGCACUUGUAACUAUGUCUACAUAAUACUUCUGCUGGCACACGAAUAAUGUAUAUACCACCACAUAUUUUGUAUCUACUGCAACACAUAGUAUAAUUAUGGCCACAUAAUAUAUAUAUACCGCAAUACAUAAUCAAUCACCACACUACAUAAGUCAUUCACCACAGUCUGUGUAUUCAUAACCACAAUAUUUUUGUCUAUCACCACACUGUGGUCUAUCACCACACUAUUGUCUAUCACGACACUAUGUCUGUCUAUCACCACACUAUGUUUGUCUGUCACCACGCUAUGUUUGUAUAUCGCCACACUAUGUUUGUCUAUCACCACAAUUUGUUUGUCUAUCACUUCAGUAUGUUUGUCUAUCACCACACUAUUGUCUAUCACUAUGCUUUGUUUACCUAUCACCACACUAUGUAUGUCUAUCACUUCAGUAUGUUUGUCUAUCACAACACUAUAUAUUUUAAUCAUCACUGUUUACAUAUUCACCAACACAUUCUUAUUACCAAUACUUGAUAUGAUGAAGCCUUGUUUGCUCUCACAUUGUCAUUUAAUAAAACAAAAAGGUAGAUCAUUUGAGUCAUGAUUCUGUGUAAAGUCAUUCCUAAAGAAAAAAAAAAUUUUAACUUUUCAUUUAAAUGAUUGAUCUCACAGAGGAAUUGUAUUUCUGCAUUACAAAUUUUACAAUUUGAUACAAUCUUGGGAUUAUGUUCUGUUUUUGCACUGAUGAAACACUCUUUAUUCUUAGAUGGAAAAUAAAUAACAACUGUUUGAGGCAUUGAAAUUCUGUAUUGUAUUGGACUAAUUAUAUAUUCAACUGAACCAUAUAAUAUUUUGUAGGUUAAACAAGAUUUAGUGCCGGCCAAACAAUUAAGAAAGAAUACGAACAAGAAUUCCUUACAGAACAGGGGAGACUAUUUUACUGUGCUUAGAUCUGUGUUUUUGUUAUAAUUAAUUAAUAUUGUAAUUUGUUCUUGGAUAAAAUAUCUGCAAUGUGGAGGACAACUGAACUGUGUUCUUAUAUAUUGAAGACGUGCAAUGAUUUAAAAUGCAUUUAAGAUGAACUUUUUACUACUCGGAAAAUGGUUAAAAUUAAAGAAACAAACA